UACCAGCUCUCCGAGUGGUAGGGAUGAUUAUUGGGCCUAAAGCGUCCGUAGCCGGCUUAGCAAGUUUCCUGUUAAAUUCAGCGACCUAAUCGUUGAGCCGCGGGAAAUACUACUAGGCUAGGAGGCGGGAGAGGUCGACGGUACUUCUGGGGUAGGGGUGAAAUCCUAUAAUCCCGGGAGGACCACCAGUGGCGAAGGCUGUCGACUAGAACGCGCUCGACGGUGAGGGACGAAAGCUGGGGGAGCGAACCGGAUUAGAUACCCGGGUAGUCCCAGCUGUAAACGAUGCGGGCUAGGUGUUGGGGUGGCUACGUGCCACUUCAGUGCCGCAGGGAAGCCAUUAAGCCCGCCGCCUGGGGAGUACGGCCGCAAGGCUGAAACUUAAAGGAAUUGGCGGGGGAGCACCACAAGGCGUGAAGCUUGCGGUUC
rnacentral:rRNA from 1 species